rnacentral:rRNA from 1 species
AACGCUAGCUACAGGCUUAACACAUGCAAGUCGAGGGGCAGCAUGAACUUAGCUUGCUAAGUUUGAUGGCGACCGGCGCACGGGUGAGUAACGCGUAUCCAACCUUCCGUACACUCAGGGAUAGCCUUUCGAAAGAAAGAUUAAUACCUGAUGGUAUGAUGAGAUUGCAUGGUAACAUCAUUAAAGAUUUAUCGGUGUACGAUGGGGAUGCGUUCCAUUAGAUAGUAGGCGGGGUAACGGCCCACCUAGUCGACGAUGGAUAGGGGUUCUGAGAGGAAGGUCCCCCACAUUGGAACUGAGACACGGUCCAAACUCCUACGGGAGGCAGCAGUGAGGAAUAUUGGUCAAUGGGCGCGAGCCUGAACCAGCCAAGUAGCGUGAAGGAUGAAGGUCCUACGGAUUGUAAACUUCUUUUAUAAGGGAAUAAAGUCACCCACGUGUGGGUGUUUGUAUGUACCUUAUGAAUAAGCAUCGGCUAACUCCGUGCCAGCAGCCGCGGUAAUACGGAGGAUGCGAGCGUUAUCCGGAUUUAUUGGGUUUAAAGGGAGCGUAGACGGGUCGUUAAGUCAGCUGUGAAAGUUUGAGGCUCAACCUUAAAAUUGCAGUUGAUACUGGCGUCCUUGAGUACGGUUGAGGCAGGCGGAAUUCGUGGUGUAGCGGUGAAAUGCUUAGAUAUCACGAAGAACUCCGAUUG